UACUCCUACGGGAAGCAGCAGUGGGGAAUUUUGGACAAUGGGCGCAAGCCUGAUCCAGCCAUGCCGCGUGAGUGAAGAAGGCCUUCGGGUUGUAAAGCUCUUUCAGCCGGGAAGAAAACGCAUGGGUUAAUACCCUGUGUGGAUGACGGUACCGGAAUAAGAAGCACCGGCUAACUACGUGCCAGCAGCCGCGGUAAUACGUAGGGUGCGAGCGUUAAUCGGAAUUACUGGGCGUAAAGCGUGCGCAGGCGGUUUUGUAAGACAGGCGUGAAAUCCCCGGGCUCAACCUGGGAACUGCGUUUGUGACUGCAAGGCUAGAGUAUGGCAGAGGGGGGUGGAAUUCCACGUGUAGCAGUGAAAUGCGUAGAGAUGUGGAGGAACACCGAUGGCGAAGGCAGCCCCCUGGGCCAAUACUGACGCUCAUGCACGAAAGCGUGGGUUGCAAGCAGGAUUAGAUACCCUGGUAGUCCACGCCCUGAACGAUGUCAACUAGGUGUUGGGUGGGUAAAACCAUUUAGUACCGGAGCUAACGCGUGAAGUUGACCGCCUGGGGAGUACGGCCGCAAGGUUAAAACUCAAAGGAAUGACGG
rnacentral:rRNA from 1 species